rnacentral:rRNA from 1 species
UACGUAGGUGGCAAGCGUUGUCCGGAUUUACUGGGCGUAAAGAGCGCGCAGGCGGUCGUUCAAGUCGCGUGUGAAAGCCCCCGGCUCAACUGGGGAGGGUCACGCGAUACUGAUCGACUCGAAGGCAGGAGGGGAAGUGGAAGUUCCCGGUGUAGUGGUGAAAUGCGUAGAUAUCGGGAGGAACACCAGUGGCGAAGGCGGCAUCCUGGCCCUGUCCUGACGCUCAGGGGCGAAAGCGUGGGGAGCAAACCGG